AGAGAAGCUAAGGGGGAACUAUCUACCUGCUUCCACUUCUCAUUUCUAUGGACUAGACAGAUAUCUGCAUCAUUGCUUAACCUCAAGCUAAGAUUAGUGGCAUUAGAAGCUUUCUAUACAACUCACCGGAGAGGUAGGAGGGAUUUUUUCCACAAUCAAAUGCUUAUUUCCAGUAUCCAGCAGAAUACAAGUCUCCUGGUUGAACUGCAAAUUCAAAACUGACUAUGAAUGACCAAGGGAAUGAUACAAUUUCUUUAGCCAGGUCACAGAAGGAUGGAAAGGCUCACCAUGCCUGCCUGUGGGAACUUGGCUGUUGAUCUGCACAGCAGCAGGAGCUGGGGUUCCCUGCAAGGGAUGGUGUCACUAAACUUGAGCUCACUUGUCACAAUGGAAUUUAAUUAUCUGCUGGAGAGAAGCCCUGACAGCUGUGGCGUAGGUUUUUCAAUGUGAUGUUGCUGGAUCGCAAGAAAAAUAUCAAGGGCUGGUGAGAACAGCCAUGUUCUAAAAGCAUCUCUGGCUGGGUUAGCCCACUGCCUACCAAAGAGGGCGUAAGUUGGAAGAGUUGGAAGCACAGUGUUUGUUUACCACAUUGCCCCUGGGUUUGCCUCUGGCUUGUGCAUCCUGGGGGAGAGGCAGUGGGUCUGCUACUGGUUCCUCAAACAUUGACAUCUGUGUUGGCCUUCUGUAGUGAAACCAUUUUCCUAGCAGCAGCAUCAGGCUCUUCUCCACACUAUUUCCCUUAUCAGCACACUGCGUGGUGCGUACGCAGUGUCUCGGUGCAGCCGGGUGAGUGUGUUGUCUGCACAGUAAUCACCAAGAACAAAGACUCGUCUGCACGGUCAGUGAGCAGGGCUGGGGGCCGUGUGCCACACGUGUGCCUGAGACACUGCCUGGCUUUGCAGGGCUGUGGCAGGAGGGAGCUGAGCCUGUGCAAGCCCCAAACCACACUCAGCGCCCACCUUGCAUGGCUUGGGGCCCACAGGCACCGGUCACUGUGUCCCACAGGAGCCAUCCCAAGCACAGGAGAGUGGGAAGUGCUCCUUGGCCAUGCUCAUCCAUGGCAUCAGGGAUCAGCACUGUGAGGACAGGAAGUGGCAACCUGCCUUUUUAAAGUUCUUGAGGAACUUUGACACAGUUUGAUACUUUCAUAUCGGUGUUCCUUGCCAAAGACAAGGGAAAUCCUACGAUUGUAGUAAAUAUUUAUCUUAAACGAAAUGAGAAUAAUUAAAUGGCACUUUCAUUGCCAUAUUCUAUUCAAUUAUGCUGACUAUUAACUAAUUGCUGACUCA
rnacentral:lncRNA from 1 species